UAACAACAGAAUGGCUUAGAUGGGCGGUCGGCUAGUCUCCUGCAAAGGAGGUGAUGCCUGUGGAGGUUAAAGAUACGCUGAUGUUGAUGAUUCAAUUUGCAACGUUGGUGAUCUUGAUUGUUUCCUUCAACAAAAAGAAAUAGACCGCCCUCUGGAAAAGGUUAGCGGUCUAUUUUACUAAUCCAACCCUACAGCCACCGCCCUUAUAAGCGGCUGUUGUAAAAGAGUGAGGAUGUUAGAGCAUCCUUA
rnacentral:sRNA from 1 species